UCUCCGUAGGUGACCUGCGGA
rnacentral:rRNA from 1 species